rnacentral:rRNA from 1 species
CCUACGGGAGGCAGCAGUGAGGAAUAUUGGUCAAUGGGCGUAAGCCUGAACCAGCCAAGUCGCGUGAGGGAUGAAGGUUCUAUGGAUCGUAAACCUCUUUUAUAAGGGGAUAAAGUGUGGGACGUGUCCUGUUUUGUAUGUACCUUAUGAAUAAGGGUAGGCUAACUCCGUGCCAGCAGCCGCGGUAAUACGGAGGAGCCGAGCGUUAUCCGGAUUUAUUGGGUUUAAAGGGUGCGUAGGCGGCCUUUUAAGUCAGCGGUGAAAGUCUGUGGCUCAACCAUAGAAUUGCCGUUGAAACUGGGAGGCUUGAGUAUGUUUGAGGGAGGCGGAAUGCGUGGUGUAGCGGUGAAAUGCUUAGAGAUGACGCAGAACCCCGAUUGCGAAGGCGGCCUGCCAAGCCAUGACUGACGCUGAUGUACGAAAGCGUGGGGAGCAAACAGGAUUAGAUACCCGGGUAGUC